rnacentral:tRNA from 1 species
GGUUGUGGCUCAGUCGUAGAGCACUUGCCUAGCAUGUGUGAGACACUGGGUUCGAUCCCCAGCACUA